rnacentral:rRNA from 1 species
ACGGCUCAGUAACACGUGGACAACCUACCCUAUGGAGGGGGAUAACCCCGGGAAACUGGGGAUAAUACCCCAUAGAUUAUGGAAGCUGGAAUGCUCUGUAGUUGAAAGGUCCGCCGCCAUAGGAUGGGUCUGCGGCCGAUUAGGUUGUUGUUGGGGUAACGGCCCAACAAGCCUGUAAUCGGUACGGGUUGUGGGAGCAAGAGCCCGGAGAUGGAUUCUGAGACACGAAUCCAGGCCCUACGGGGCGCAGCAGGCGCGAAAACUUUACAAUGCGGGAAACCGUGAUAAGGGAACUCCGAGUGCCCGUAAAAUCGGGCUGUCCAUCUGUUUAAAUAACAGGUGAAGAAAGGGCCGGGCAAGACCGGUGCCAGCCGCCGCGGUAAUACCGGCGGCUCGAGUGGUGGCCACUAUUACUGGGCUUAAAGCGUUCGUAGCUGGUCUGUUAAGUCUCUGGGGAAAUCUACUGGCUUAACCAAUAGACGUUUCAGGGAUACUGGCAGACUAGGGACCGGGAGAGGUGAGAGGUACUCCAGGGGUAGGAGUGAAAUCCUGUAAUCCUUGGGGGACCACCUGUGGCGAAGGCGUCUCACCAGAACGGCUCCGACAGUGAGGGACGAAAGCUGGGGGAGCAAACCGGAUUAGAUACCCGGGUAGUCCCAGCUGUAAACGAUGCAGACUCGGUGAUGAAUAGGCUUCGUGCCUAUUCAGUGCCGCAGGGAAGCCGUUAAGUCUGCCGCCUGGGGAGUACGGUCGCAAGACUGAAACUUAAAGGAAUUGGCGGGGGAG